ACCUGCCCUAUGAUAAUUAUUAAAUGGCCGCGAUAUUUUGAUCGUGCAAAGGUAGCAUAAUCAUUAGUUUCUUAAUUAGGAACUGGAAUGAAAGGUUGAACGAGAAAAAAACUGUCUCAAUUUAAUUUAAUUAGAAAUUUAUUUUUAAGUAAAAAAGCUUAAAUAUAUUUAAAAGACGAGAAGACCCUAUAGAGUUUUAUAUUUUAUAUUUUAUAAAAAAAAUAUAGUAUUAGUUUUUUUAUUUUUUGUAAAGUAUUUAGUUGGGGUGACUAAAAAAUUUAUAUAACUUUUUUUCAAUUUUUACAUUGAUAUAUGAAAAAUUGAUCCAUAUUUUAUGAUUAAAAGAUUAAAUUAC
rnacentral:rRNA from 1 species